AACGAACGCUGGCGGCAUGCCUAACACAUGCAAGUCGAACGAGACCUUCGGGUCUAGUGGCGCACGGGUGCGUAACGCGUGGGAACCUGCCCUUAGGUUCGGAAUAACUCCCCGAAAGGGGUGCUAAUACCGGAUAAUGUCUUCGGACCAAAGAUUUAUCGCCUUUGGAUGGGCCCGCGUUGGAUUAGCUAGUUGGUAGGGUAAAAGCCUACCAAGGCGACGAUCCAUAGCUGGUCUGAGAGGAUGAUCAGCCACACUGGGGCUGAGACACGGCCCAGACUCCUACGGGAGGCAGCAGUGGGGAAUAUUGGACAAUGGGCGAAAGCCUGAUCCAGCAAUGCCGCGUGAGUGAUGAAGGCCUUAGGGUUGUAAAGCUCUUUUAACCGGGAUGAUAAUGACAGUACCGGGAGAAUAAGCUCCGGCUAACUCCGUG
rnacentral:rRNA from 1 species